rnacentral:rRNA from 1 species
UACAGAGGGCUCAAGCGUUGUUCGGAUUCAUUGGGCGUAAAGGGUGCGUAGGUGGCGCUGUAAGUCGGGUGUGAAAUUUCGGAGCUUAACUCCGAAACUGCAUUCGAUACUGCGGUGCUUGAGGACUGGAGAGGAGACUGGAAUUCAUGGUGUAGCAGUGAAAUGCGUAGAGAUCCGGAGGAACACCAGUGGCGAAGGCGACACGCUGGGCCGUACCUGACGCUAAAGCGCGACAGCAUGGGGAGCAAACGGG